CUUUUGGAUAUUCAACUACGAGAUCUGAGUGAAACAAUCAUUGAAUGCACUUUAUGGAAAAACCAUGCUGAGGAUGUACACUCUUAUGUGAAGAAUAACAAAACUGGUCCAGUUAUAUUGCUUGGCAGUCUUAUGAGGACCAAAAAAUUCAACAGUAAAAUAUCAGUUCAACACUCACGCGUUUCUACAAAGCUUUUUCUGAAUGAAGAAGAUAUAGAUGAGAUAAGUGAAUUUAAGAAA